rnacentral:rRNA from 1 species
GACGAACGCUGGCGGCGUGCUUAACACAUGCAAGUCGAACGGUAAGGCCCUUCGGGGUACACGAGUGGCGAACGGGUGAGUAACACGUGGGUGAUCUGCCCUGCACUUCGGGAUAAGCCUGGGAAACUGGGUCUAAUACCGGAUAGGACCACUGCCUGCAUGGGUGGUGGUGGAAAGCUUUUGCGGUGUGGGAUGGGCCCGCGGCCUAUCAGCUUGUUGGUGGGGUGAUGGCCUACCAAGGCGACGACGGGUAGCCGGCCUGAGAGGGUGACCGGCCACCAUGGGACUGAGAUACGGCCCAGACUCCUACGGGAGGCAGCAGUGGGGAAUAUUGCACAAUGGGCGCAAGCCUGAUGCAGCGACGCCGCGUGAGGGAUGACGGCCUUCGGGUUGUAAACCUCUUUCAGCACCGACGAAGCGCAAGUGACGGUAGGUGCAGAAGAAGGACCGGCCAACUACGUGCCAGCAGCCGCGGUAA